rnacentral:rRNA from 1 species
UACGUAGGGGGCUAGCGUUGUCCGGAAUCAUUGGGCGUAAAGAGCGUGUAGGCGGCCCGGUAAGUCCGCUGUAAAAGUCAAAGGCUCAACCUUUGAAUGUCAGUGGAUACUGUCGGGCUAGAGUCCGGAAGAGGCGAGUGGAACUCCUGGUGUAGCGGUGGAAUGCGCAGAUAUCAGGAAGAACACCAACGGCGAAGGCAGCUCGCUGGGACGGUACUGACGCUGAGACGCGAAAGCGUGGGGAGCGAACAGG